rnacentral:rRNA from 1 species
UACGAAGGGGGCUAGCGUUGCUCGGAAUUAUUGGGCGUAAAGCGCACGUAGGCGGCUUUUUAAGUCGGAGGUGAAAUCCUGGAGCUCAACUCCAGAACUGCCUUCGAUACUGAAGAGCUCGAGUCCGGGAGAGGUGAGUGGAACUGCGAGUGUAGAGGUGAAAUUCGUAGAUAUUCGCAAGAACACCAGUGGCGAAGGCGGCUCACUGGCCCGGUACUGACGCUGAGGUGCGAAAGCGUGGGGAGCAAACAGG